CAUCUGACUAUUCCCUGCCUUUAUUUAUUUUGCCCACUGGAACCAGCUAUCUAUAGGGGUCCUUAAUGUACCAGGAUGACCUAAAAAAGUAAUACUGCAAAACAAGAAAAUGAAAGUGCACAACUCUCAACGAGGAGAGUCGGUGUUCCUCCUUUUCCUGUGAAAUGAAGCACACCUGGUAAAAGUGUUGCCCAUUCUGGGCCAGUGAUGAUCUGCAACCCUCUCAGUCUUUUGGAAUACUCAGUCCACUGCUGAGGCAGUCCUUGUGUCACCAACUUCAUGGCCGUGGGGUGGGAAGAAGCUGAUCUUCUGAGCUGUGGGCAGCUCUACCUGCCUACAGAGCUACAAGAUAGUGAAGUGCUGAUAAACUGAGGCUGCAACCAUGGGCUAAGUCUCCAGAGAAGAAAUGACACAUGAUAGACCAGUGUUGAAGCAAUUCUUCUUUUGACUGGGUUCUGAAAACCUCAUGGCCAUGGCUCUACUUCGAACUCUUCACUUCCAUUCCCCAAAGACAUCUCAGUUUAAGCAAAAAAAGACAACAAUGAAUAAGACAUUAGUAUACCAAAAGUCAUCCAGCGCCAUUAGAAUUAUGAUGAAUAAAGGAGACAUGGCUGAACUAGUCCAUGAAGUCAUGACAAAGGUAGUAUGGCUGCCUUUAUUUAAAGGUAAAUUCUUCUUUCUCAGAACAGAUCUGGAAAAAUUGUCAGCCCAUGCUAUCAAAGUAUCACUAUCACAGUGAAACUUGGGGACAUUAUGUUUCUGGCCUGAUUGUGCUCUUUUAGCAUUAUAUGGCCUUUGGGAGAAUCUCAGCACGCAGUGGGCAGCAGCGCCUCAGUGACUUUUGCUUCUUAUUCUCUGCUGCCAGCCCUGCUCUGACUACAGGGCUCAUCACUGCAGUCAUCUUCAGACAGAUACCUCAUUGUCUGACUUGGAAAUACCCACCUUAAAGCCUUUCAAGCUUUAAGGGCCUGAGUGUGGGGAAAUCCAAAGUCUAUUCACUCUCUUGGAUCACUGUUUGGGAUUUGUACAAAAGCAAAAGCAGUGUUCUUCCACCUUUGUUGCUUUCACAUUGUCUUUCACACCAAAUCCUUCUGGAAAAAGCAUCUGUUUUAAAUUUCUUGUGUUUUAUUGAGAGGUCUUUCACUGUGGUUUCUGUAGUAUUUCUGUUUCUAAAAGUGUAAGCCCAUGGUCUAACCCCAGAUGUGUUCAUGGUUUUUCUCCAAAUUAAGCUAUGAGUGCGUGGAAUAGUUCAGGAUAUUAUGCAUCUCAUAAUAGAUAAAUAUAUGGGAUUCCUGCCAAAUUAGAGUGGCUCAGAAGCUGCAGCGCCAGUAGAAGAAGUAAAUCAGUUAGGAAGGUAAUUACUGCCUCACACGAUAUGCAUUCAGAACUUGGUGCAUAGGCAAACAAGUUCAAGGAAUUGCACUCAUUUCCUUUGCUACUUUAUUUGAUUGUGCAGCAAUGGAGAGACAAUGAGUUAACUUCAUUUGCAUUAAAUUUAUGAUCUCUGUUUUUCAAACCUCAAACAGUCGCUGAGAUCAGGAAUAAGUAUAAAACAUCCUAUUUAGGUGUUUUAUUUGCAGUGCUAUUUUUCAUCAGUGAUUACUGCUGGCUAGAUCACAUUCCAUCAACAGAGUGUAAAAGUGACGGGUAAUAAGCAGAUGUUAAAGAAACAACCCUAAAGGUACCAUACAGGCUGGUUUUACUGUGUGAUGGCCAAUAGCUGAAAGACCAGAAAAAUGUUAGGACUAACAGAACUGGGGCUAGACCCCUGCUAAUAAUCUG